rnacentral:snoRNA from 1 species
AUGCUAGUAAACUAUAUCAAUUAAAAUAUUUCAAUACCCACUUGUUUAUUGAAAGUUUAAGAAAUCCUGGGGUGCAGUGGCUGCACAUAGCGGCCUUGUAGGUAGUGUAUGCGGCCUGUUGCCUGUACAGGUUGUCCUAAAGGACCUUGGAGACAGCC